rnacentral:rRNA from 1 species
UACGUAGGGUGCAAGCGUUGUCCGGAAUUAUUGGGCGUAAAGAGCUCGUAGGCGGUCUGUCGCGUCGGCUGUGAAAACCCGGAGCUCAACUCCGGGCCUGCAGUCGAUACGGGCAAACUGGAGUGUUGCAGGGGAGACUGGAAUUCCUGGUGUAGCGGUGAAAUGCGCAGAUAUCAGGAGGAACACCGGUGGCGAAGGCGGGUCUCUGGGCCGAUACUGACGUGAGGAGCGAAAGCGUGGGGAGCGAACAGG